rnacentral:rRNA from 1 species
UGGGAUCUCGGUGUGGCGCCGGGUGCGUACGCGUGGGAAUAUACACAUAGGUAAGGAAUAACUGCUGGAAACGGUAGCUAAUACCUUAUGAUGACUCCGGUCCAAAGAUUUAUCGCCUAUGGAUUAGCCCGCGUCAGAUUAACUUGUUGGUGAGGUAAAGGCUCACCAAGGCGACGAUCUGUAGGGGGUCUGAGAGGAUGAUCCCCCACACUGGUACUGAGACACGGACCAGACUCCUACGGGAGGCAGCAGUGAGGAAUAUUGGACAAUGGGGGCAACCCUGAUCCAGCCAUGCCGCGUGAGUGAAGACGGCCUUAGGGUUGUAAAGCUCUUUCAAGUGCGAAGAUAAUGACGGUAACACUAGAAGAAGCUCCGGUUAAAUUCGUGCCAGCAGCCGCGGUAAUACGAAUGGAGCAAGCGUUGUUCGGAAUAACUGGGCUUAAAGCGUAUGUAGGCGGAUCAUAAAGUCAGGAGUGAAAUCCCGAGGCUCAACCUCGGAACUGCUCUUGAAACUCAUGAUCUAGAAUACUGGAGAGGUUGGGAGAAUUCCUAGUGUAGAGGUGAAAUUCGCAGAUAUUAGGAGGAAUACCAGUGGCGUAGGCGCCCAACUGGACAGUUAUUGACGCUCAGAUACGAAAGCGUGGGGAGCA